UACGGAGGGUGCGAGCGUUGUCCGGAAUCACUGGGCGUAAAGGGCGCGUAGGCGGCGAGGAUAGUCAACGGUGAAAGCUUGGGGCUCAACCCCGAGUCGGCCGUGCGAACUGUUUUGCUGGAGCACUGUAGAGGCAGGCGGAAUUCCGGGUGUAGCGGUGGAAUGCGUAGAGAUCCGGAAGAACACCGGUGGCGAAGGCGGCCUGCUGGGCAGUUGCUGACAUUGAGGCGCGACAGCGUGGGGAGCAAACAGG
rnacentral:rRNA from 1 species